AACAAAUAAUUUAAAUAAAAAAUACUAAUUUUGGAAAUUAGAAAUAAAAUCAAUUUUUUUGUUGAA
rnacentral:tRNA from 1 species